AGUAUACCAAGGGGCGCGAGACAACUCUCUCUAAGGAACUCGGCAAAAUUACCUCGUAACUUCGGAAGAAGAGGUACCCCUUCACGGGGGUUGCAAUAGAUUGACCCUGGCGACUGUUUACCGAAAACACAGGUCUCCGCUAAUUCGUAAGAAAAAGUAUGGGGGCUGACGCCUGCCCAGUGCCGGAAGGUUAAAGAAGUUGGUUAGUCCUUGGACAAAGCUAGCGACUGAAGCCCCGGUGAACGGCGGCCGUAACAAUAACGGUCCUAAGGUAGCGAAAUUCCUUGUCGGGUAAGUUCCGACCCGCACGAAAGGCGUAACGAUCAGGGUACUGUCUCGGAGAGAGGCUCGGCGAAAUAGACAUGUCUGUGAAGAUGCGGACUACCUGCACCUGGACAGAAAGACCCUAUGAAGCUUUACUGUAUCUUGGAAUUGGGUUUGGUCUUUGCAUGCGCAGGAUAGGUGGGAGGCUUUGAAGAUGAUCUUGCGGGGUCGUUGGAGCCACUGGUGAGAUACCACCCUUGCAAUGAUAAAAUCCUAACUUUGAACCGUUAUCCGGUCAAAGAACAGUUUCAGGUGGGCAGUUUGACUGGGGCGGUCGCCUCCUAAAAGGUAACGGAGGCGUGCAGAGGUUCCCUCAGGCUGGUUUGACAUCAGUCGUAGAGUGUAAAGGCAUAAGGGAGCUUGACUGUGAGACCAACAAGUCGAGCAGAGACGAAAGUCGGCCUUAGUGAUCCGGCGCUUCCGAGUGGAAGGGGCGUCGCUCAACGGAUAAAAGUUACUCUAAGGAUAACAGGCUGAUCUCCCCCAAGAGUUCACAUCGACGGGGAGGUUUGGCACCUGGAUGUCGGCUCAUCGCAUCCUGGGGCGGUAGUACGUCCCAAGGGUUGGGCUGUUCGCCCAUGAAAGCGGUACGCGAGCUGGGUUCAGAACGUCGUGAGACAUUUCGGUCCAUAUCCGGUGCAGGCGUUAGAGUAUUGCGAAGACUCCUCCUUAGUACGAGAGGACCGGGGGGAAUGCACCGCUGGUGUACCAGUUAUCGUGCCAACGGUAAACGCUGGGUAGCCAAGUGCAGUUUGGAUAACUGCUGAAAGCAUCUAAGUAGGAAGCCAGCUUCAAGAUGAGUACUCUCACCGCUUCAAGCGGGUAAGAUCACGGCAAGAACAGCCGUUUGAUAGGCAUCAAGUGUAAGUGCAGUAAUGUAUUCAGCUGAGAUGUACUAAUAGAUCGAGGGCUUAUCA
rnacentral:rRNA from 1 species